rnacentral:lncRNA from 1 species
AAAAUCACUUUAAAUUUUUUAACAUUUUAAGAAAAACUAUAAAUCAAUAACAUUAAUAUAAAAUUUUAUCCCAAAAACUCAACACUAAAUGCAUAAACAAAAAAACAAACAAACCCUAAACCAUAUAAUACUAAGCAUUAUUCUAAAUAAAACCUUAAAUCCAACAUAAACCAAACGCUAAACCUUUUCUAUUGCCUAAAACCCUAAAUCCUACCUAACCCUAAACCCUACAUAAACCUAGACCUUAACCCUAUCUAACCCUAAACCCUUCAUACUACCUAAACCCUAAACUUAUCUAAUUGUAAACCUACCUAACCCUAAAAGUAAACCCUACCUAACCCUAAACCCUAUUUAACCCUAAACUCCACCUAAUCCUAAACCCUUCCUAACCCUAAAACCUACCUAACCCUAACCCUAAACCCCACCUACCCUAAACCCUACCAAAACCCUACUAACCCUAAACCCCACCUACCUUAAACCCUACCUAACCCUAAACCCUACCUAACCCUAGACCCUACCGAACCCUAAACCCUACCUAAUUCUAAACCCUACCUAACCCUAAACCCAACCUAACCCUAAACCCUACAUACCCUAAACCCUUUCUAACCCUAAACCCUACCUAACUUUAAACCCCUUCUAACCCUAAACAUGACCUAACCCUAAACCUUGCCUAACCCUAAAACCUACCUCACCCUAAACCCUUUCUAACCUUAAAUCCUAUUAACCCUACUAACCCUAAACCCUUUCUAACCCUAAACCAUGCUAACCCUAAACCCUUUCUAACCCUAAACCCUACCAAACCCUAAACCCUACCAAACCCUAAACCCUACCUAACCCUAAACCCUACCUAACUCUAACCCCUUUCUAACCCUAAACCCCUUCUAACCCUAAACCCUUUCUAACCCUAAAUCCUACUUAACCCUAAACCCUACCUAACCCUAAACCCUUUCUAGCCUUAAAUCCUACUAACCCUAAACCCUACUAACCCUAAACUUUUUUUAACCCUAAACCAUGCUAACCCUAAACCCUACCUAAUUCUAAACCCUACCUAACCUUAACCCUACAUAACCCAAAACCCUACUAACCCUAAACCCUACCUUACCCUAAAACCUUUCUAACCCUAAACCCUUUCUAGCCCUAAACCCUACUAACCCUAAACCCUACUAAACCUUAACCCUACUAACCCUAAACCCUACAUAACCCUCAACUGUAGCUAACCCUAAAACCUAUUAGUCCUAAACCCUACCAACCCUAAACCCUACCUAGCCCUAAACCCUACUAACCCUAAACCCUACCUACCCUAAACCCUUUUUAACCCUAAACCCUGCUAACCCUAAACUCUGUCUAAACCUAACCCUAAAACCCUACCUAAACCUAACCAUAAAUCCCGCUAAAACUCUACCAACCCUAAACACUAAAAAAUAAUCUCAAAAUUUAAAGUUAAAAAAACCUAAACUCUACCGCUAUGUAAUUUGUUGUUGUGAUAUUCAAAUAACAAAUUACAUAGCGGAUUUUAAAUCUUACAUCCGUUAUUUUAAUUGCCAAAAUAUUUUGAAAGUUGUAUUUUAUGAAUAAAAAAGUUAAAUUAUAUUUUAAUAACGUUAAAUUUUGUUAAAAUAGAAUGAAAAACUAUUAUCAUAAAUAAAUAAAGAAUUUUGAUGAAAUUUAAAAAUCUUCGAAUCGAUAACAAUUAAUUAGUAAUAUUUCAAAAACCCUUAAACUAUUAUAGCAGCAGAAUCUCAAAAAAAAAAUUAAAGUUCUCAAACAUUUAUUUGCCAAUAACCAUCAUUAAAUCUUUGCUGAUUCACAAAAAAUAAUAUUCUUUACGUAAAUUGGAAACAAGUUUUGUUUUUUGACUAGAGACCCAAGUUUAAAUUAUACCACUAAAAUAUUUUAAUAUUUAAUUAUUCAGAAAUAACAAGUUAAUGUUCUUAAAACAAUAACCAUUCUUAAAUCUUUGCUCAUUCAAAAAAAUAAUAUUCUUUACAUAAAUUGGAAACAAGUUUUGUUUUUUUUGACUAGAGACCCAAGUUUAAAUUAUACCACUAAAAUAUUUUAAUAUUUAAUUGUUCAGAAAUAUAUAUUUAUAUAUUCGAGAGUAUACAAUGCAUAGAUGAUACUAAACUGAUUGCAAGAAUUCUUUUUGUAAAACACAAUAUAAGUAGUAUAGUAUUCAAAGAACUUUUCAAAAAUUUAGAAAAAAUUUUAAGCCCGCAUCGCGGGCAAAACACCUAGUUAUUUAUUAUUUUCAAAGUUUAAUUGUCAUAUGUCAUACAUAAUGGGCAAUGGCCCAGAAAAGAAGCUCCACUAACAUCAUGUUCAUUCGAGCAACUUUUGGGAGAUGGUUUGCUUGUCACCAAAGUAACCCUUGACUUCAAUCAACACACGAUAACCUUCUUCCUUAAUAGCUGUUACGUUAUUCUUUUUCAACAAAAGAGGAUCAGGGAUUGAGCCUUUCUAGCCCUAAACCCUACUAACCCUAAACCCUACUAAACCUUAACCCUACUAACCCUAAACCCUACAUAACCCUCAACUGUAGCUAACCCUAAAACCUAUUAGUCCUAAACCCUACCAACCCUAAACCCUACCUAGCCCUAAACCCUACUAACCCUAAACCCUACCUACCCUAAACCCUUUUUAACCCUAAACCCUGCUAACCCUAAACUCUGUCUAAACCUAACCCUAAAACCCUACCUAAACCUAACCAUAAAUCCCGCUAAAACU